rnacentral:lncRNA from 1 species
GGAUAGAAAUUCUUAUUACGUGGUCUGUUAAAUAUAGGUACACAUUAGGCUUUGGAAUUACUGGUAGUAGUCAAGUCAUUGUGGAAAUGUGAUCAGUUUGAGAUUCAGAGUAUUCAAAACCAGUUCAGUUGUUCAAAAGCGGCCCUAACAGGGUCCUCCCUGAGUUUUGGGGAGGUGAGUUCCCAGAGAACAGGACUUUGCAUGAGAGCAGUCUGGGCAGGAGAUGCCAUGGACCCCACUCUUGGGGAGUGUUCUGGCAGAUGGCCUCCUUAGCCAGAGCUUGGAACAGACUCAGAGCCAGCAAAGUGAGUUCAAUGGCUGAGGCGAGGUGAGGUACCCUACCUCAUAACCCAAUUCAGACUAUUUUCCUCUGUCC